rnacentral:rRNA from 1 species
GUGAGGAAUAUUGGUCAAUGGGCGCAAGCCUGAACCAGCCAUGCCGCGUGCAGGAAGACGGUCCUAUGGAUUGUAAACUGCUUUUAUUUGGGAAUAAACUCCGGUACGUGUACCGGCCUGAAGGUACCAAAUGAAUAAGCACCGGCUAACUCCGUGCCAGCAGCCGCGGUAAUACGGAGGGUGCAAGCGUUAUCCGGAAUCAUUGGGUUUAAAGGGUCCGCAGGCGGUCUUAUAAGUCAGUGGUGAAAGCCUACAGCUCAACUGUAGAACUGCCAUUGAUACUGUAGGACUUGAAUUCGAUCGAAGUGGGCGGAAUGUGACAUGUAGCGAUGAAAUGCUUAGAUAUGUCACAGAACACCGAUAGCGAAGGCAGCUCACUAGGUCUGGAUUGACGCUCAGGGACGAAAGCGUGGGGAGCAAACAGGAUUAGAUACCCGUGUAGUCC